GAUGAACGCUGGCGGCGUGCCUAAUACAUGCAAGUCGAGCGAACAGACGAGGAGCUUGCUCCUCUGACGUUAGCGGCGGACGGGUGAGUACCACGUGGAUAACCUACCUAUAAGACUGGGAUAACUUCGGGAAACCGGAGCUAAUACCGGAUAAUAUAUUGAACAGCAUGGUUCAAUAGUGAAAGACGGUUUUGCUGUCACUUAUAGAUGGAUCCGCGCCGCAUUAGCUAGUUGGUAAGGUAACGGCUUACCAAGGCAACGAUGCGUAGCCGACCUGAGAGGGUGAUCGGCCACACUGGAACUGAGACACGGUCCAGACUCCUACGGGAGGCAGCAGUAGGGAAUCUUCCGCAAUGGGCGAAAGCCUGACGGAGCAACGCCGCGUGAGUGAUGAAGGUCUUCGGAUCGUAAAACUCUGUUAUUAGGGAAGAACAAAUGUGUAAGUAACUAUGCACGUCUUGACGGUACCUAAUCAGAAAGCCACGGCUAACUACGUG
rnacentral:rRNA from 1 species